CUACCCUUUGCUAGAUAAAUGCUACUCAACUCCAUCUCAAUCCUUUCUUCGGCUUUGAACCAUACAUCUCUCAUCUCUGCCUCUAAAUCUUUCAUCGCC